UUUUACAGGAAAAAAAAAUUUGCUUUUUCUAGAAUAGUAUAUAUUAUUAUUAUACAACAAAAUUUUUUUCCUCUAUUUUCAGCACAGUGGACGGUUGCAUCUGCUCCCAGAAUUGAAACCACUUUGACAACCUUUGUCCAAAGAAAUGGAAGAGGAGAGAAGAUGUCUGAAACUCUGAAACUGAAGAGGAACAGUGAAAGGAAACAGACUGUCCAGCAGGUAGAAAGGAAGGCAUGAGACCCUCUCUUCAUUCAGCCAAAGCAGCCCUGUAGGAAGCCUGGAGAUGGGCAGCUAGCCAGUGUGAAUUUUAAGCCUUAUUGUUCAAAAGGUAUUGAAGCAUUAAAAAAUGAGUCAGAUGAAAAAAGAAGAAAGAAUAAACAGCAAAGCAGUUAAUUCAAUCUAUCCAUAUAGUUACAUUAAAUAAGAUGGAAGUAAAGUUUUCAAUCAAAAAGCUUUAAGACUAAGAUUUACAUAGAUUCUAUUAAUACUUUGUAAGAAUAAAUAUAAACAUAAGCAUUUUUAUGAAAAAUCAGAGACUUUCAGAUAAAAGCAAAACCCAUCUAUACAUGUUUUUGUUUUUUUAUUAAGUACAUUUGGAAAGUAAAACCAUGAAAAAAAUGCAAACACUAUGAAAAUUGGUGUGGCUAUGCCAAAGUCAGAAAAAUAGACUACAAAACUGUGAGUAUUAUCACAGAUUAAGAGGACGUGUAACAAAAUAAUUGAUUAAUCAAAGAGAUACAAUAAUCUUAAAUAAGUGUAUACUUAAAAAGAGAUUUCAAAGUACACGAAACAAAAUUUCAUGCACCUAGAGUACAAAAGUAAAAGUUCACAGAAUUUUUCACCCUAACUCAGUAAUUUAUAAAAUAAAUAAAGAGGAAAAAUAAGUAUAAAGAAGAUAUGAACAGCGCUGUCAACUAUGGACCAAAGAAAAAAAUCACAGAGGAAAUUAGGAAAUAGCCUAACAGUGUAAAUGAAAACAAAACUCAGACUUUUAUGCUAUAAAAUUAACCAGCUAUUAGAAGAAUAGGUAUAGCUUUAAAUCUUUCUGGUGGGAAAGAAGAAACAUAUAAACAUCAAUGAAAUAGGCAUACGUCUUAGAAAGCCUGAAAUAAAAAGCCAAAAUAAAUCCAAAGUGGAUAAAGGAAACACCAAAACAUAUUGAAAAAAAGAGUGGACAUAAAUUAAUGGGGAAAACGAAUAAUAGAGAAAACCUAUAAAAUGAAAAUCUAGUUCUUUGAAAAGACUAACAAAAUUGAUAAAAUUCUAAUUUCACUUAUUAAGAAAAAAAAGAGAGAGAGAGACAAAAUAUACCAGUAUAUAAAAAUAAACAAAAUAUACCAGUUUAUAAAAAAUAAACAUCAGAUAGCACUAGAGGUACUACAGAAUUUAAGCUGAUAAUGGGUGAUUAUAUAAACUAAUUGGUGCCAUAUGAUUGUUUAAUUUAUCUAAGCAAGUUUCUUCUAAAACAUAAAUUAUCAAACUGAAAUAAGAAUAGUAAAUCUGAGUAGUUUUACCUUUCUAAAUAAAUAGAAUUUGCUUUUGAACAUAAUUUUAGAGUGAAAACUCAGGCCCAAAUAGCAUAAUUGCUGGAUUCUAGCAAAUAUUUAAACAAUAAAAAGAUCAAUCAUACAUAAAAUCUUUUAGAAUUGGGAGUAUACUUAUUCCUUACCUGACCAAAAUCUUUGGUCUAAAACAAGCAACGAUAUUUUGGCACCGAGUGAAGGGUAGUAAACCCUUAUAUUUCCAGUCUUUGGCAAAAGUACACUAUUUUUGAGAGUGGGACAGAAGCAAAAACUGUUAACUCAUAGAGGAGCAAAAAGAAACCAGUUUGUACACAGGAUCCUGCUCUGGUAAAAAGAAAAAAGUAAGCUCCACUCUACUGGGGGAAUGUCAGAAAAUGUUUUCUUCCCACAAAUACAAGGCAGAAAGAUCUAAACUUACUAUAGAAAAAUUUUAAAAAUUGACCUUUCAACUUUGUAAAUUCCAUGCCCAUUGAUAUACAACUGAAAUAUAAUAAUGUAUAAAAUUUCUUUAGGGUUAGAAAAUUUUUUAAAAUGUACUGUCCAAUGUCUUUUCAAAAUAAAAUUUCC
ensembl:lncRNA